GGGGGAUAAAAUUCUUUGUAACGAGAUAAAAAAUUCUAUUGAUUUAAAUCUUAUUACUGCAUAUUGGUUGAAUUUUUUUAUAUGUUGUUUUGAUAUGCACAACUGAAUCCAUGAGGUUGAACAGAUUGGGAUAUGAGAAUGCAUGAAUUAUAGAUGUUGUUUAGGAAGUUAUACAUCAUGUUGUCAAAUUUAGCUUUGAGUAAAUUGUGCUAAUAAUAAAGUCUUCAUGAUAAACUUGGAGUAGCUGUGAUGUGAUUAUAUUCAUUGAAGCUACUAUUGCAUUCAUUGUACUUUAUAAAUUAGUAGCUGAAUCAUAAACAUCUUAAUUGUUUGAUAAAUGAUUGUUGAUUUCAUGGGUAAAUUGAGUAUGCUAAAAGCUGAAUUUGAUUUACUAAGAAUCAUUGAAACUUGUUUGAAAUUGCAAAUACAAAUCUGAAUUGGCUUGAAAGCAUCUCUUCAUUGUUUUGGACUGAACAAAUCUUAAAACAUUUUUUCAGAAUCUGCUUUUGAGUUUAAGAAAAAAAAAAUUUGUUUGACAUGAUCUUGUGAUACCUGGUACCCAUUUGAGGGAGAAAUAUAUAAGGUUGUUAGAUAUAUGGACAUUUUAUGAAUGUUAUAUGAGUUUUAGGGAGAAAUAUAUCAGCGUAAAAAAAAAAAAAAAAAAGACUUUUUUAAAAAUUUUUUAAAAGGGGAUUAUUACAUUUAGGAGGAGUACUUUUAAAAGGACUUAAUUUUUUUUAAGUUACUUAUUUUAUGAGGAGCAUAAACUUUAGAUUUUUUUUAAAAGAGGGGAUGAAGCUUUUGAUUGAGAACUUUUAUAAUAACUAGAAGAUAUGAGACCUACCCUGAAACCUCACUUUGAUCAAAUUUAUGAAUGGCAGCAAGCUCAUGAAAAGUUAUAUGGUUGAUCAAAUUCUUGACAUUGAUGUUCAUCUAGGAAAUAUUGAAAAUCAUCUAAACAUUCAAUCAACCGAGAGAUCCUAAGUCCUGAAUUUUAGAAUUAGGAUUUUUUUUGUCUGAGUGCCUUGUUGAUUGGUUGUUAUUCUUAUAUCUAUGUUAUAUCUCUGUCUUUUAUGUUUCUCCUUAUGAUGUCUAUGUAAUCCUUUCUUUUAUGAAUAACAUGAUCUCUUGUUUUAUGCAUACAUUGUUUAAUUGAGGGGGAGAUCAUAUUUAGGGGGAGCUUUUUAAAUUAAUAUUUUUGCUUAUGAUCAAAAAGGGGGAGAAGCAUAAUAUAAGUGCAGAAGUAUAAUACAAAUUAAUAAUUGAUACAGGUAUUGCUAACUUUGUUUUCUGUUAGCUCUUACGUAUUGCACGUAAGCCAGAGUUGCUUUUAAAAGUGAAUUUUUGAUCAUCAUNAAAAANGGGGAGAUUGUUACCAAUAAGGAGCAUUGGUAAAACUUGAAGAAUUGUUUUGAUGAUGCUGCAAGAAGUAUUAUUUAAAGAGAACAUUAGAUUUAUUUAAAA
rnacentral:lncRNA from 1 species